rnacentral:pre_miRNA from 9 species
UCUCGAUAGCGUAAAAGUUAACACAAAGUAUGGAAUUGGAUCGUUUGCUUACGUUUACCACUAGGGGCGCUGUUCCAACUGCAUAUAAAUUUGAGUUAACUUUUACGCUAUCGA